CCUACGGGAGGCAGCAGUGGGGGAUAUUGCACAAUGGGGGAAACCCUGAUGCAGCGACGCCGCGUGGGCGAAGAAGUAUUUCGGUAUGUAAAGCCCUAUCAGCAGGGAAGAAGAACUGACGGUACCUGAGUCAGAAGCCCCGGCUAAAUACGUGCCAGCAGCCGCGGUAAUACGUAUGGUGCAAGCGUUAUCCGGAUUUACUGGGUGUAAAGGGCGCGCAGGCGGCACGGCAAGCCUGAUGUGAAAGCCCGCGGCCCAACCGCGGGACUGCAUUGGGAACUACCGGGCUGGAGUGACGGAGAGGUAGGCGGAAUUCCUAGUGUAGCGGUGAAAUGCGUAGAUAUUAGGAGGAACACCGAUUGCGAAGGCAGCCUACUAAACUGCCACUGACAUUGAUGCUCGAAAGUGUGGGUAGCAAACAGGAUUAGAUACCCGUGUAGUC
rnacentral:rRNA from 1 species